UCCAAUUAAAAUUUGACACGAUAGAAUUUUUACGGUAGAUUGAUGGCAUGUGGGUUUCUCUUCUUUUUUUUCUUCCCGUGCAAAAUUCCUGGUGAUCACGUCACGUGGGUCUUCGUUCAGAUGGUCAAAGCGGUGGUGGGACCCAACACGGAACAGAUAGGAGUCUGGAAUCGAGGAUCGUGUCCAUCGGUGCCUUGGUGGUACUCUCUCGACUCUUCCCCAGAUCAUCUCUCGCUCUCCCAUUGAUUUCCUCCCUACCCUACCCAAUCUUCAGCUCCACCUCCACCUCCCUCCUCUGGAAGUUUCUCCCGCCGUACCCAAUCUUGGCGGCAGGAUGACAUAGGGUUUCACAAGCCCGUCCGCCGCCACGACCAUGGGCUGAUGCUCCAUGAAGGUGUACCUGGAGGAGCGGCGUCGGGGACCUCAGCAGGCGUCGGUGGGAGCCAGGCCGAGGGAGGCGGCGUUGGCUGGAGGAGCCCGUCAAGUGCCUGGCUGUGUCGCUGGGAGUCCCCGCCGCUGACAGCCCGCGUCUGCUGACCGCUCCUUCCUUCCAUCUGUUUUCUCUCUCCGGUCUCCUCUCUCUCACCCAAAAACAGGUGCAGCGGCGGCGGAGACGGCCUCCACAACAGCGAGGAUGGAGACGAUGUGACACCAUAGGAUCAAGUGGCUCUAGAGAAGAUGGAGGAGGAGCAGAUGGAUGCUGCAUAUUCUCAGCAUGCCUCUGGUGAUUUUAUAUACUCACAUGGUGUUCCUCAGACCAUAUGUGAUUACUGAUACAUUUCCACCGCGGCUGUAUAAGUAAAGAAAAUUUCGAUCAGCAUGAUGAAUUAAUUGAAUUGUCACCGAAUGGAGUCUUGUGGUUCUUCAAAAUCAACCAGGUCUAUUCUUGCAGUCAACAAAAUAGUUCCUCUUAGAUUGUUGUCUGUCAUUGUAGGUUGUUUGUAAGUUUCAUGCAUUGCCACCUCCUUUGGUUGCCUGCCUUUUCUUUUAAAAUAAAUCUGUGUGAUCAUUAAGUUUAUAAUUAUAAUUACUGCUGAAAUUAUAUAAUUUCAGUAUAUCUACCUGGUAUAGUUAGCUAAUGUCUUCCUUCAAAGUAAGUUAAACACAUCGUGUUCUGAGUUCUGCUAAUUGGUACUGAUAGUGGGAUAUAUGGAUGGAUAUGGAUAUGCAAAAAAUGUGUCACUAUCUCCUCCCUGUAUGCAUAUAAGAAAACAAGAUAGGCAGCAAUGGGACGUGAAAAAACAAGAGAGGCAGCGAUGGGGCAUGCACGGGAUGUGAAUUACAAGAGGUUUAUUGUGACUUCGAUGCCUCUUACUGAAUUUGGUAGGGUCAUUCACAGGCUUAAAAUCUGAUUGCCAUUGUUCCUGCCUUCCUGGGGUAUGAUUAGGCUAUUUUGCUGAUAACAUAUCCGGAUGAUAAGACUGUUUCGCUAACCAUAUACAAUCCUUUAACUGGGGUAAUGUUUGAAGAGGUAUUUACAAGCUCUUUUCUAUUUUUCCAAUUGAAAAUAUCAGUGCAAUUUAAUUUAGUGGAUUUCGCCGUUUGGUAUUGUAAAUAUGACUGUAGCAUCGUUUUCUCCAACAGUGUGAGUGUCAUGCCCAUGGCACAUUUCAUCAAAUUUGAAGAACAUCGGGUAAUAUUUGAAGAAAUAUGAUAAAAAGCUCUGUAUUUUUCCAACUUGCUUAUUCACCUCAGAUCCUAACUUAUUCAACAUUGAAGAAGAUAGGAGCUAAGCCAUCCAUCUAUUGAGAUUUAUUUGGAUGUGCGGAAAACCUUCUGUUAUAAUGUUUGUGUGAACAAAGAUAAGCCUUUCGUUAUGUCAAGCUUGGGAAUAUUUUUCUCAGGUUCUGUUUUAGCCAAUUUUAGCAAGUCAUUUCAUUGGCCCUAAUUUUUGAUCUAAGCUAAUCUUUCAAUCAACUUUAACAAGUACAUCAAAGCAGCAUGCCAUCGGCGAGUAAGAACAUGACAAGACUCGACUGGCUAGAUCCAGUUAAAUGUAAUAUGAGCCCACCCUCUUUUUUACUCUAAUUCAAUCCAAAAAUCCCCUUUCUGGAAAUAAUAUAUGUGGGCUGCUGGGGCCUCUCUUUUGUACAAAUAGUCUCUAGGUAAUGGGGAAAAUAUAAAUUGGUAGAGUGGGGACUACGGGACUAUAUACUCCCUCUGAACUCAAUUUUGGAAUUUGUUUUCAGGAUGGCACACUUUGGUGGCUCCCAGAUUUCCUUCAAAGCAUUAAGUUGAUGAAACCAGUUCUGUUUCGUCAGCAGCCUCUCUCUCUCUCUCUCUCUCUCUCUCUCUCUCUCUCUCUGGGUCGGUUGUUUGACCAGUGCUGUCUUCUUAUGAUUCUCCCUGAACACAUGUUUGUUGUGUUACGAGUUCGAGAGUGUGAAUCGUCUAUUUUCUGAAGGUGAUAUUUCUAAGACUGUGGUCUAUUUUUUCUGACACUUUAGAGUGUGACCUGAGAAACUAUCCAAGAUAUUAUAUUUGCUCUAAACAGGGAUGAACUGAAAUGCACUAUUAUCAAUAUAUGUCCUUCUGCAGUUCUGUGGUCUAUUUGGAAGCUGCCUAACAAUCUCCGUUUUCAGGGAAAACAAUGAAGAAGUUUGACCUGCAUUUGGGAUGCAGCGAUCUGUUACGUACACUUCGGUGCCUCCCAGAUAUCCUUCCAUGUAUUGUACUUAGCAUGAAAGAAAAUUCAAUUGACAUAUUGCCUCCUAUCGCCAAGAAUUGCACGGCAUUCUCAUCUAUGGGAGGUUUAAAGAACACUCAUUCGUAUUUGGCUACAUACAUUGCCAUUUCUUUUGUGGUUAGACGAUCAGACAAUUACAGGAUUAUGGGCAGCGAUAUCUGGAUGAGAUUUCUGGCAACUAUGGUCAGCUACUCACUUAUGGGCACUGCUAUAUGGCUGACUUGGAGCAUGUUUGUGAGUUUACCCCUUCUAAUGUAGGUGCUCAAUUUUGGAUGUAUCGGUACAAGGAGACAUAGCUCCAGCUCCUGAACAUUUUACUCUAAAAGACUUAAGCUUUCAUCGCUGCUAUACAUGGUAGCAGUGAACUGUACAUAGUAUGGCAGUGUCUAUUGCCACUAGAACCGAUGUUGUAUACCAGUUUAAUCUUUUCUCUCUGUUCAACCUGCAUCCUGUUUCUGUCAAUUGUAGUAUCACUCGCUGUAUAUAUGUUAAAUGAUAAAGUUUGGCUAGCACCACAUUUAGUAUAUGAUUCCUCUUA